AGAGUUUGAUCCUGGCUCAGGACGAACGCUGGCGGCGUGCCUAAUACAUGCAAGUCGAACGCUUCUUUCCUCCCGAGUGCUUGCACUCAAUUGGAAAGAGGAGUGGCGGACGGGUGAGUAACACGUGGGUAACCUACCCAUCAGAGGGGGAUAACACUUGGAAACAGGUGCUAAUACCGCAUAACAGUUUAUGCCGCAUGGCAUAAGAGUGAAAGGCGCUUUCGGGUGUCGCUGAUGGAUGGACCCGCGGUGCAUUAGCUAGUUGGUGAGGUAACGGCUCACCAAGGCCACGAUGCAUAGCCGACCUGAGAGGGUGAUCGGCCACACUGGGACUGAGACACGGCCCAGACUCCUACGGGAGGCAGCAGUAGGGAAUCUUCGGCAAUGGACGAAAGUCUGACCGAGCAACGCCGCGUGAGUGAAGAAGGUUUUCGGAUCGUAAAACUCUGUUGUUAGAGAAGAACAAGGACGUUAGUAACUGAACGUCCCCUGACGGUAUCUAACCAGAAAGCCACGGCUAACUACGUGCCAGCAGCCGCGGUAAUACGUAGGUGGCAAGCGUUGUCCGGAUUUAUUGGGCGUAAAGCGAGCGCAGGCGGUUUCUUAAGUCUGAUGUGAAAGCCCCCGGCUCAACCGGGGAGGGUCAUUGGAAACUGGGAGACUUGAGUGCAGAAGAGGAGAGUGGAAUUCCAUGUGUAGCGGUGAAAUGCGUAGAUAUAUGGAGGAACACCAGUGGCGAAGGCGGCUCUCUGGUCUGUAACUGACGCUGAGGCUCGAAAGCGUGGGGAGCAAACCAGGAUUAGAAUACCCUGGUAGUCCACGCCGUAAACGAUGAGUGCUAAGUGUUGGAGGGUUUCCGCCCUUCAGUGCUGCAGCAAACGCAUUAAGCACUCCGCCUGGGGAGUACGACCGCAAGGUUGAAACUCAAAGGAAUUGACGGGGGCCCGCACAAGCGGUGGAGCAUGUGGUUUAAUUCGAAGCAACGCGAAGAACCUUACCAGGUCUUGACAUCCUUUGACCACUCUAGAGAUAGAGCUUUCCCUUCGGGGACAAAGUGACAGGUGGUGCAUGGUUGUCGUCAGCUCGUGUCGUGAGAUGUUGGGUUAAGUCCCGCAACGAGCGCAACCCUUAUUGUUAGUUGCCAUCAUUCAGUUGGGCACUCUAGCGAGACUGCCGGUGACAAACCGGAGGAAGGUGGGGAUGACGUCAAAUCAUCAUGCCCCUUAUGACCUGGGCUACACACGUGCUACAAUGGAUGGUACAACGAGUCGCGAAGUCGUGAGGCCAAGCUAAUCUCUUAAAGCCAUUCUCAGUUCGGAUUGUAGGCUGCAACUCGCCUACAUGAAGCCGGAAUCGCUAGUAAUCGCGGAUCAGAACGCCGCGGUGAAUACGUUCCCGGGUCUUGUACACACCGCCCGUCA
rnacentral:rRNA from 1 species